GACGAACGCUGGCGGCGUGCUUAACACAUGCAAGUCGAACGGGCCCGCUCUCUUUUUUGGGGGUGGGUUGAGUGGCGAACGGGUGAGUAUCACGUGAGUAACCUGCCCCCUGCUCCUGGAUAACUGCUUGAAAGGGCGGCUAAUACGGGGUGUGCCGGCUGGUCCGCAUGGGCCUGGUCGGGAUAGUUUCAUCUUCGGGUGUUUCGGUGGGGGAUGGGCUCGCGGCCUAUCAGCCUGUUGGUGGGGUGAUGGCCCACCAAGGCGGUGACGGGUAGCCGGCCUGAGAGGGUGGGCGGCCACACUGGGACUGAGACACGGCCCAGACUCCUGCGGGAGGCAGCAGUGGGGGGUAUUGCACAAUGGGCGGAAGCCUGAUGCAGCGACGUCGCGUGAGGGAUGGAGGCCUUCGGGUGGUGAACCUCUUUCUCCGGUGGUGAAGGCCCUGUCCGUUGCGGCGGGGUUGACGGUAGCCGGGGAUGAAGCGCCGGCUAACUACGUG
rnacentral:rRNA from 1 species